GCCAGUGUGGCAUGGUGGUUUGAGUGUUGGACUACGACUCUGGAGACCAGGGUUUGAUUCCCAGCUCAGCCA
rnacentral:tRNA from 1 species